GAGGAUGGUAUUUGUACACUCCUUCCGUGCCUAGUUGAAGUUCCCCUUAGUCGAUCUUCUCCUGGAAGAUGUCCUUCAAUUUGUUUCAAUUUGUUCUCAGAAUCUUAAUCGAACAGAAUGAAUCAAACACCAAAUCGAGAUUGUUUGAUACAGAGAAAUUGCUACCUGAAUUAGAGAUUUUUCUUUUCUGAAUACUUUUUCCAACAUUUGGUGAUUGGGUUUUCGAUUUUUCGAUUUUUUCCUUUUUUUUUUUUGGAGAUUGGAAAAUUUUGUGAGGAAGAAGAAAGAUAUCAAAAACUAAUUGACCGCACUGAUGGUUAGAAAAUUGAGACGACUGCUUCGAAAGUUCAAUUUCUCCAACGAAUUUUCCUCCAACCUCUUCAAAUCCUACCAACGCAUUUCACUUAGGACUCCACCAAUCUAACUAGGUGUGCAGGAGAGAUGUGAAACUUAGUUGCUGGUGGUGGCCAUUGAGCUAUGGUGACUGAUUCACGUUCGUUGGAAGAGUUGUUUGAAUUUGGCCUUGGUGACAGUGUGACUCCUUGAAAUGCGCAUGUGAUAAGUUGCUUACACAAAUAUUUUUGUAGAGGUCUUGAAACGGAACGGCUGUCGUAUCGUCCUUGCAUCUUUGCGAACAUGUUACUGCCCAAAUGUAAUGUGUGAGAACGUUUUAUUAUGUGUGUAGAAUUAAGAGAUUAUUCCAUGGAAAUUUGUUUUGUA